AGACCCGAAACCCGGUGAUCUAGCCAUGGGCAGGUUGAAGGUUGGGUAACACUAACUGGAGGACCGAACCGACUAAUGUUGAAAAAUUAGCGGAUGACUUGUGGCUGGGGGUGAAAGGCCAAUCAAACCGGGAGAUAGCUGGUUCUCCCCGAAAGCUAUUUAGGUAGCGCCUCGUGAAUUCAUCUCCGGGGGUAGAGCACUGUUUCGGCAAGGGGGUCAUCCCGACUUACCAACCCGAUGCAAACUGCGAAUACCGGAGAAUGUUAUCACGGGAGACACACGGCGGGUGCUAACGUCCGUCGUGAAGAGGGAAACAACCCAGACCGCCAGCUAAGGUCCCAAAGUCAUGGUUAAGUGGGAAACGAUGUGGGAAGGCCCAGACAGCCAGGAUGUUGGCUUAGAAGCAGCCAUCAUUUAAAGAAAGCGUAAUAGCUCACUGGUCGAGUCGGCCUGCGCGGAAGAUGUAACGGGGCUAAACCAUGCACCGAAGCUGCGGCAGCGACACUGUGUGUUGUUGGGUAGGGGAGCGUUCUGUAAGCCUGUGAAGGUGUGCUGUGAGGCAUGCUGGAGGUAUCAGAAGUGCGAAUGCUGACAUAAGUAACGAUAAAGCGGGUGAAAAGCCCGCUCGCCGGAAGACCAAGGGUUCCUGUCCAACGUUAAUCGGGGCAGGGUGAGUCGACCCCUAAGGCGAGGCCGAAAGGCGUAGUCGAUGGGAAACAGGUUAAUAUUCCUGUACU
rnacentral:rRNA from 1 species